CCUACGGGUGGCAGCAGUGGGGAAUAUUGCACAAUGGGGGAAACCCUGAUGCAGCGACGCCACGUGAGUGAAGAAGUAUUUCGGUAUGUAAAGCUCUAUCAGCAGGGAAGAAGAAAGACGGUACCUGACUAAGAAGCCCCGGCUAACUACGUGCCAGCAGCCGCGGUAAUACGUCGGGGGCAAGCGUUAUCCGGAUUUACUGGGUGUAAAGGGAGCGUUGACGGCUGUGGAGGUCUGAAGGGAAAGCCAAGGGCUCAACCCUGGGACUGCUUUGGAAACUGUGGAGUUAGAGUGCUGUAGAAGUAAGUGGAAUUCCUAGUGUAGCGGUGAAAUGCGUAGAUAUUAAGAGGAACACCAGUGGCGAAGGCGGCUUACUGGACAGUAACUGACGUUGAGGCUCGAAAGCGUGGGGAGCAAACAGGAUUAGAUACCCGGGUAGUC
rnacentral:rRNA from 1 species